rnacentral:rRNA from 1 species
CCUACGGGAGGCAGCAGUGGGGAAUAUUGGACAAUGGGGGAAAGCCUGAUCCAGCCAUGCCGCGUGUGUGAAGAAGGUCUUCGGAUUGUAAAGCACUUUAAGUUGGGAGGAAGGGCAGUAAGUUAAUACCUUGUUGUUUUGACGUUAUCAACAGAAUAAGCACCGGCUAACUUCGUGCCAGCAGCCGCGGUAAUACGAAGGGUGCAAGCGUUAAUCGGAAUUACUGGGCGUAAAGCGCGCGUAGGUGGUUCAGCAAGUUGGAUGUGAAAUCCCCGGGCUCAACCUGGGAACUGCAUCCAAAACUACUGAGCUAGAGUACGGUAGAGGGUGGUGGAAUUUCCUGUGUAGCGGUGAAAUGCGUAGAUAUAGGAAGGAACACCAGUGGCGAAGGCGACCACCUGGACUGAUACUGACAUCUGAGCUCGAAG